rnacentral:lncRNA from 1 species
GGCGGGGGGGCCGGUUUGUUGUGGUCGCCAUUUUGCUGGUUGCAUUACUGGGUAAUCGUGGCCCUGGCUCGCUGCGCUCGCCGGAUAUCUUCAGCCUGUGGGCAGGACUGAGCUCGGGCUUCCCGAGCAGCUUGAGUUCCCUUGCCCGUGCCCUCAGGUCUCAGCGGCGGGGGCAGCCGAGGUGCAGGAUGCGAGAAGGCGCCCCCCGGCCGGGCUCCCGCUCCAGGCCUCGCUCCCC